GCGGAGGAAAAGAAACCAACAGGGAUUGCCUCAGUAACGGCGAGUGAAGCGGCAUCAGCUCAAAUUUGAAAUCUGGUCUCACGAUCCGAGUUGUAAUUUGUAGAGAAUGCUUCGGGCGAGGUCCGGUCUAAGUUCCUUGGAACAGGACGUCAUAGAGGGUGAGAAUCCCGUAUGCGACCGGGUGCCUCCGCCCAUGUGAAGCUUCUUCGACGAGUCGAGUUGUUUGGGAAUGCAGCUCAAAAUGGGUGGUAAAUUUCAUCUAAAGCUAAAUACUGGCCAGAGACCGAUAGCGCACAAGUAGAGUGAUCGAAAGAUGAAAAGCACUUUGGAAAGAGAGUUAAACAGUACGUGAAAUUGUUGAAAGGGAAGCGCUUGCAACCAGACUUGCGCGUGGCCGAUCAUCCGGUGUUCUCACCGGUGCACUCGGUUGCGCUCAGGCCAGCAUCGGUUUCGGUGGUUGGAUAAAGGCCCGGGGAAUGUAGCUCCUCUCGGGGAGUGUUAUAGCCCUGGGUGCAAUGCAGCCUACCGGGACCGAGGACCGCGCUUCGGCUAGGAUGCUGGCGUAAUGGUUGUAAGCGACCCGUCUUGA
rnacentral:rRNA from 1 species